rnacentral:rRNA from 1 species
GACGAACGCUGGCGGCGUGCCUAAUACAUGCAAGUAGAACGCUGAAGGAGGAGCUUGCUUCUCUGGAUGAGUUGCGAACGGGUGAGUAACGCGUAGGUAACCUGCCUGGUAGCGGGGGAUAACUAUUGGAAACGAUAGCUAAUACCGCAUAAGAGUAGAUGUUGCAUGACAUUUACUUAAAAGGUGCAAUUGCAUCACUACCAGAUGGACCUGCGUUGUAUUAGCUAGUUGGUGAGGUAACGGCUCACCAAGGCAACGAUACAUAGCCGACCUGAGAGGGUGAUCGGCCACACUGGGACUGAGACACGGCCCAGACUCCUACGGGAGGCAGCAGUAGGGAAUCUUCGGCAAUGGACGGAAGUCUGACCGAGCAACGCCGCGUGAGUGAAGAAGGGUUUCGGAUCGUAAAGCUCUGUUGUAAGAGAAGAACGAGUGUGAGAGUGGAAAGUCCACACUGUGACGGUAGCUUACCAGAAAGGGACGGCUAACUACGUG